rnacentral:rRNA from 1 species
GAUGAACGCUGGCGGCGUGCCUAAUACAUGCAAGUCGAGCGAACGGACGAGAAGCUUGCUUCUCUGAUGUUAGCGGCGGACGGGUGAGUAACACGUGGAUAACCUACCUAUAAGACUGGGAUAACUUCGGGAAACCGUAGCUAAUACCGGAUAAUAUUUUGAACCGCAUGGUUCAAAAGUGAAAGACGGUCUUGCUGUCACUUAUAGAUGGAUCCGCGCUGCAUUAGCUAGUUGGUAAGGUAACGGCUUACCAAGGCAACGAUGCAUAGCCGACCUGAGAGGGUGAUCGGCCACACUAGAACUGAGACACGGUCCAGACUACUACGGGAGGCAGCAGUAGGGAAUCUUCCGCAAUGGGCGAAAGCCUGACGGAGCAACGCCGCGUGAGUGAUGAAGGUCUUCGGAUCGUAAAACUCUGUUAUUAGGGAAGAACAUAUGUGUAAGUAACUGUGCACAUAUUGACGGUACCUAAUCAGAAAGCCACGGCUAACUACGUG